rnacentral:lncRNA from 1 species
CAGCAGCCUCCUAGAGCUGAUUCACCUGCUCCUCCUCAGUUUCCCGAGCAGUGGAGAGAUAUAGGACCCGGGCUCUGCCAGACUCCCCUAAGUGGCCAGAGGUUCCCCGUGUUCCCGCGAUGUCCUGCAGGCUGACCCCCAUUCCCUCGCUGCCACGCAGACUGUUCCAGCCGGAGGGAGGAUGAGACCCAGCAAGGUGAUGAACCUGCAGGAAGAAGACACAACAGCUGUGCCUUCCCUCAUCUCAGGACACCGAAACAAGACGCCGAGAAAACGGGCCUGUGAAAAGCAAACCGCUGCAUACUUACGUAGAAAAACCUUUAACAAUUUUAAGGAUGGAGAAUGAUGCUCUAAGAAUAAAACUAACAAAAAAAGAGAAAAAAU